GUUUUUUGCGUAGUCGGCGGGACGUGAGUAAUGCGCACAGGCCGCCGAGGGACGUGGCGACACGCGUUAAAUAGAGUGAGUAGCGGUGUGGAGGUGUCGUGACGCGGAUUAUCCGAGGGGAGAGAGGAACGAGAAAGAACGGGGUCGGUGGCCUCGAGCUGUACGGGACGACGCUCUCCGCUACCGAUCACGACGCUCCGCUGCCCGUAGUACCAACGCCCCGCUACCGUCGAAGGCCGCUGCGCGACGAGAGGGAAGAGAUAGGUCUUUCGGGUGUUUGCCGAACCGCAGCGGGGCGGUGCGGAUCUCACGCGCUGGUCUCGGUCGUCGUAGCUGUGGUCAUUGCUCGCGGUGCCUCCGCUUCGAAGGCUGGGCCGGUUAGGUGACGGCGAGGCGGCGCAACAGCCGAUCCGGCGGCGCGAUGGUAGCCUCGAAGUACCGGCGCCCGUGGAAGUAGGCAACGGUGUGCGGCGGACCCGAACGGGUGCAAGGCUAGAUCGGCCGUUUGUAUGACUAGGCAAAGGGGGCACAGGCAGGGUCCGGAAAGAUGGAGCGACCUCAGCAGUUCCGCGGCCGUGAGAGGUGGUUCAGUUGACGUAGCACGGGUACGAGGCAGAGCUCUCCUCGUCGCUCGAUCGUGGGCGGAGACGUAGCUCGUGACGAGCUAGGCUGACGUAGCGGGUUCCGGGUGAGGCGGCGGCGGAACGAGGCGGGAGCGGCAGGAGGGCGGCCUCCAGCGGCGGCUGUACUUGCGGCUUCUCCUCCGUCCGCCGGACUACCCUCUAGCGGCCGCACCGGGAGCAGCCGCCGCCAGAGGCCGCCCUCCGCGCCUUAGCCCGCCAGCCCGCGCCAGCAGAGACCGCCCACCGCCGCGUCUCCCCUUUAACCUUCACCUAGUGGACCGCUUGGUAAAAAAUGAACGACCUGACGCCCAACUUAUGGAGUUUGUCAUCCCCCAAAUACAUUUUUACGGCUACUGCAUGCCCGUCUUUGAGUUAAGAGAAAUAAUAAUUAUAUAUAUAUAUAUAUAUAUAUGUAUGUAUGAUCGUUUUCUCGGGCACGCAACGUUGCCCCUGUAUGAAGCGAUACUUCGUUUGUUUUAUAGGUACCUAGUAAGGUCGGACUUGCAAGAGUGACUUCUUAAUGUAGUACCCCCGUACUAUCGGCUUCCUAGCCGACUGUAAGCCCCAAGGACAAGCGCCUACCGUACCGUACCUAGUAUCACGUGUGCCGGUUACUGUUGUGUUCCUACUACCUGUUAUAGUCCUCCAACUCCCUUAGGCCUACUCACCUACCAACACUCAUUAACUUUAAAAAGAGUGACUCACGCUGUAUCCAAACGCCACCAGUCACAUCUAACUUGCCACUUUAAGUAGUAGAUACUACGUACCAAGCUGGAGAAGAAGCAGACUUACCUAAGAGGAACAGCUAGUUAGAAACACUCCACUCAAAUUGUCGUAAGCUACCACUGUAUUCUGCCGUUAAAUCCACCUCAGACGGAUGGAUCUUCUUUAUCUCGUCUUCUCCUCGGCACCAACAAGAAGAUGAAUAUGAAUAUCCUCCUUCUAAUAUGAAUAUCCUCC
rnacentral:rRNA from 1 species